rnacentral:rRNA from 1 species
AUACGGAGGAUCCGAGCGUUAUCCGGAUUUAUUGGGUUUAAAGGGAGCGUAGGCGGACGCUUAAGUCAGUUGCGAAAGUUUGCGGCUCAACCGUAAAAUUGCAGUUGAUACUGGGUGUCUUGAGUACAGUAGAGGCAGGCGGAAUUCGUGGUGUAGCGGGGAAAUGCUUAGAUAUCACGAAGAACUCCGAUUGCGAAGGCAGCUUGCUGGACUGUAACUGACGCUGAUGCUCGAAAGUGUGGGUAUCAAACAGGAUUAGAUACCCUGGUAGUCCACACAGUAAACGAUGAAUACUCGCUGUUUGCGAUAUACAGUAAGCGGCCAAGCGAAAGCGUUAAGUAUUCCACCUGGGGAGUACGCCGGCAACGGUGAAACUCAAAGGAAUUGACGGGG